rnacentral:rRNA from 1 species
ACGCUCGACACUACGGAGGCAGCAGUGGGGAAUAUUGCACAAUGGGGGAAACCCUGAUGCAGCGACGCCGCGUGAGCGAAGAAGUAUUUCGGUAUGUAAAGCUCUAUCAGCAGGGAAGAAACUGACGGUACCUGACUAAGAAGCACCGGCUAAAUCGUGCCGCAGCCGCGGUAAUCUGAGCGGCGUGGCAAGGC